rnacentral:rRNA from 1 species
UACGUAGGGUGCAAGCGUUGUCCGGAAUUAUUGGGCGUAAAGAGCUCGUAGGCGGUCUGUUGCGUCGGCUGUGAAAACCCGGGGCUCAACCCCGGGCCUGCAGCCGAUACGGGCAGACUAGAGUUCGGCAGGGGAGACUGGAAUUCCUGGUGUAGCGGUGAAAUGCGCAGAUAUCAGGAGGAACACCGGUGGCGAAGGCGGCGACCUGGGCCAAUACUGACGCUGAGGUGCGAAAGCGUGGGGAGCAAACAGG